ACGGGGACCCGCACAAGCGGUGGAUGAUGUGGAUUAAUUCGAUGCAACGCGAAAACCUUACCUACCCUUGACAUGUCCGGAAUCCCGAAGAGAUUUGGGAGUGCUCGCAAGAGAACCGGAACACAGGUGCUGCAUGGCUGUCGUCAGCUCGUGUCGUGAGAUGUUGGGUUAAGUCCCGCAACGAGCGCAACCCUUGUCAUUAGUUGCCAUCAUUUGGUUGGGCACUCUAAUGAGACUGCCGGUGACAAACCGGAGGAAGGUGGGGAUGACGUCAAGUCCUCAUGGCCCUUAUGGGUAGGGCUUCACACGUCAUACAAUGGUCGGUACAGAGGGUUGCCAACCCGCGAGGGGGAGCUAAUCCCACAAAGCCGAUCGUAGUCCGGAUCGCAGUCUGCAACUCGACUGCGUGAAGUCGGAAUCGCUAGUAAUCGUGGAUCAGCAUGUCACGGUGAAUACGUUCCCGGGUCUU
rnacentral:rRNA from 1 species